GCGAAUACCGGAGAAUGUUAUCACGGGAGACACACGGCGGGUGCUAACGUCCGUCGUGAAGAGGGAAACAACCCAGACCGCCAGCUAAGGUCCCAAAGUCAUGGUUAAGUGGGAAACGAUGUGGGAAGGCCCAGACAGCCAGGAUGUUGGCUUAGAAGCAGCCAUCAUUUAAAGAAAGCGUAAUAGCUCACUGGUCGAGUCGGCCUGCGCGGAAGAUGUAACGGGGCUAAACCAUGCACCGAAGCUGCGGCAGCGAACGUAUCACUUAAAGUGAUUCAGCGGGUUACGAUUGACGGAGCGAAGCGACGUCAAAGCGUAUACAAAGUCGAGUCGGUUUAAGGAUACGUUCGUUGGGUAGGGGAGCGUUCUGUAAGCCUGUGAAGGUGUGUCGUGAGGCAUGCUGGAGGUAUCAGAAGUGCGAAUGCUGACAUAAGUAACGAUAAAGCGGGUGAAAAGCCCGCUCGCCGGAAGACCAAGGGUUCCUGUCCAACGUUAAUCGGGGCAGGGUGAGUCGACCCCUAAGGCGAGGCCGAAAGGCGUAGUCGAUGGGAAACGGGUUAAUAUUCCCGUACUUGGUGUUACUGCGAAGGGGGGACGGAGAAGGCUAUGUUGGCCGGGCGACGGUUGUCCCGGUUUAAGCGUGUAGGUGUGUGUUCCAGGUAAAUCCGGUUCACUUUAACACUGAGGCGUGACGACGAGGCACUACGGUGCUGAAGCAACAAAUGCCCUGCUUCCAGGAAAAGCCUCUAAGCAUCAGGUAACAUCAAAUCGUACCCCAAACCGACACAGGUGGUCAGGUAGAGAAUACCAAGGCGCUUGAGAGAACUCGGGUGAAGGAACUAGGCAAAAUGGUGCCGUAACUUCGGGAGAAGGCACGCUGACACGUAGGUGAAGUGAUUUACUCAUGGAGCUGAAGUCAGUCGAAGAUACCAGCUGGCUGCAACUGUUUAUUAAAAACACAGCACUGUGCAAACACGAAAGUGGACGUAUACGGUGUGACGCCUGCCCGGUGCCGGAAGGUUAAUUGAUGGGGUCAGCGCAAGCGAAGCUCCUGAUCGAAGCCCCGGUAAACGGCGGCCGUAACUAUAACGGUCCUAAGGUAGCGAAAUUCCUUGUCGGGUAAGUUCCGACCUGCACGAAUGGCGUAAUGAUGGCCAGGCUGUCUCCACCCGAGACUCAGUGAAAUUGAACUCGCUGUGAAGAUGCAGUGUACCCGCGGCAAGACGGAAAGACCCCGUGAACCUUUACUAUAGCUUGACACUGAACAUUGAGCCUUGAUGUGUAGGAUAGGUGGGAGGCUUUGAAGUGUGGACGCCAGUCUGCAUGGAGCCGACCUUGAAAUACCACCCUUUAAUGUUUGAUGUUCUAACGUGGACCCGUAAUCCGGGUUGCGGACAGUGUCUGGUGGGUAGUUUGACUGGGGCGGUCUCCUCCUAAAGAGUAACGGAGGAGCACGAAGGUUGGCUAAUCCUGGUCGGACAUCAGGAGGUUAGUGCAAUGGCAUAAGCCAGCUUGACUGCGAGCGUGACGGCGCGAGCAGGUGCGAAAGCAGGUCAUAGUGAUCCGGUGGUUCUGAAUGGAAGGGCCAUCGCUCAACGGAUAAAAGGUACUCCGGGGAUAACAGGCUGAUACCGCCCAAGAGUUCAUAUCGACGGCGGUGUUUGGCACCUCGAUGUCGGCUCAUCACAUCCUGGGGCUGAAGUAGGUCCCAAGGGUAUGGCUGUUCGCCAUUUAAAGUGGUACGCGAGCUGGGUUUAGAACGUCGUGAGACAGUUCGGUCCCUAUCUGCCGUGGGCGCUGGAGAACUGAGGGGGGCUGCUCCUAGUACGAGAGGACCGGAGUGGACGCAUCACUGGUGUUCGGGUUGUCAUGCCAAUGGCACUGCCCGGUAGCUAAAUGCGGAAGAGAUAAGUGCUGAAAGCAUCUAAGCACGAAACUUGCCCCGA
rnacentral:rRNA from 1 species